CAAGGAAUAGUUUAUAUAAAAUAUUAAUUUUGGAGAUUAAUGAAAGAAGUUAUUCUUUCCUUGA
rnacentral:tRNA from 1 species